rnacentral:tRNA from 1 species
AGUUUCAUAGUUUAAGUAAAACAUCGAAUUGCAGCCUCGAAGAAAGACUACGUCUUGAAACAU